UACCAGCUCCCUGAGUGGUAAGGACGAUUAUUUGGCCUAAAGCGUCCGUAGCCGGCUUAUCAAGUCUCUUGUUAAACCCAAUGAUUCAAUCAUUGAUCUGCAAGAGAUACUGUUAUGCUAGAGGACGGGAGAGGUCGACGGUAGUCCAGGGGUAGGGGUGAAAUCCUAUAAUCCUUGGAGGACCACCAGUGGCGAAGGCGGUCGACUAGAACGUGCCUGACGGUGAGGGACGAAAGCUGGGGGAGCGAACCGGAUUAGAUACCCGGGUAGUCCCAGCUGUAAACGAUGCGGGCUAGGUGUUGGGGUAGCUACGAGCUACUCCAGUGCCGCAGAGAAGUUGUUAAGCCCGCCGCCUGGGGAGUACGGCCGCAAGGCUGAAACUUAAGGAAUUGGCGGGGAGCACCACAAGGGGUGAAGGCUGCGGUUU
rnacentral:rRNA from 1 species